AUGAGGGAACAUCUCCGAGCAAUAAAGGAGGAAACAGAGAUGCUUAGACCAAACGUAGAGCUUAAAGAAAGGAGGGCACUGAUGAAAAUCUACCAGAGAAAUUUUGUGUCUAACCACAGCACGGAGGAGAUUAUCUCUGAGUUUCCAUGUUUCAGACUGGCCAAAAUGCUCCUUUGGGAUAUGAGAGACCAUACCAUCGUUGAUGUGGACCAACAUAUUAUCUCUCAACUCUCAUUAAUGGCACCUAAAGUCCUUCAAGUUUCACAGAGUCCCCUGAUGGAGAAGUUCAGGUGUGUGGUUGAUGACUGUGAAGAUGACAGACUGACAAAAGGACUACAGUUGGAAGCAGCUGUUCUGCUCUUGCCUGCACUGUUUAAGGAGCUCCCGGGGUUGCUGUUUGAAGUUGAGGUGAGCCAUGAACAGUUGACUGAGUGUGAAGCAAGACUAAUUAAAGGGUUAGUUCAUCGAAAAUUCAAAAUUAAGUCAGUAAUAACUCACCCUCAUGUCGCUCCAGUGAGACCUCCAUUUAUCUUCAGAACACAGUUUAAGAUAUUUUAGAUUUAGUCUGAGAGCUCUCAGUCCCUCCAUUGAAGCUGUGUGUACGGUCUACUGUCCAUGUCCAGAAAGGUAAGAAAAACAUCAUCAAAGUAGUCCAUGUGACAUCAGAGGGUCAGGUAGAAUAUUCUGAAGCCUGGAAAAUACAUUUUGGUCCAAAAAUAGCAAAAACUAAGACUUUAUUCAGCAUUGUCUUCUCUUCUGUGUCUGUUGUGAGAGAGUUCAAAACAAAGCAGUUUGUGAUAUCCGGUUCAUGAACGAAUCAUUUGAUGUAACCGGAUCUUUUUGAACCAGUUCACCAAAUUGAACUGAAUUGUUUUAAACGGUUCGCAUCUCUAAUACUGAUUAAUCCACAAAUGACUUAAGCUGUUAACUUUUUUAAUGUGUCUGACACUCCCUCUGAGUUCAAACAAACCAAUAUCCCGGAGUAAUUCAUUUACUCAAACAGUACACUGACUGAACUGCUGUGAAGAGAGAACUGAAGAUGAACACAGAGCCGAGCCAGAUAAUGAACAACAGACUGACUCGUUCACGAGUCAAGAACCGUUUCUGUCAGAUGCGUCCGAUUCGUGAACCGAGGAGCUGAUGAUACUGCGCAUGUGUGAUUCAGUGUGAAGCAGACCGACACACAAAAGUUAACAGCUUAAGUCAUUUGUGGAUUAAUGCUAAUUGGAGACGCAAACCAUUUCAAACUAUUCAGUUCGAUUUGGUGAACUGGUUUAAGAAGAUCCGGUUACAUGGAGUGAUUCGUUCGCGAACUGGAUAUCACAAACUGCUUUGUUUUGAACUCUCUCACAACAGACAUGUAAGAGAAGACAAUGAAUAGUUUUUGCUAUUUUUGGACCAAAAUGUAUUUUCGAUGCUUCAAAAUAUUCUAACUGACCCUCUGAUGUCACAUGGACUACUUUGAUGAUGUGUUUCUUACCUUUCUGGACAUGGACAGUAGACGUACACACAGCUUCAAUGGAGGGACUGAGAGCUCUCGGACUAAAUCUAAAAUAUCUUAAACUGUGUUCUGAAGAUAAACAGAAGUCUCACCGGUUUGGAACGACUCGAGGGCGAGUUAUUUAUGACAUCAUUUUGAUUAUUGGGUGAACUAACCCUUUCAAUUCACAGUAAAACAGCUUCAGUGUGCUUAUGGUUUUAUUCAACUUUUUAAGGUUUCCCUUCCAAAUAAAUGUGAAAAUGGUUAAUGCUAUUAUCCCUUCUUCCCCAGGGUCAUGCUCAGACCUGCCCUCCUGACACACCAACACCUAAAAUGGUGCUCAAAGGCUGCAGGGAGGGUCAUCCCAUGCAAUACGAUCACAUCUCGAUGACACUGGGCCUUAUCCUUUGUAUAUAUUUUCUGUUUGGGAUCCAAUAUCCUAAAGGACUGAAAAAGACACUGACCUUCCUGGAGUGUGUUGUUUUAAAAAUGAAGGAUGCAGCACGGACUUCCUGUCACAAUUAAAAGAGUGUAAAAUUCAAUCUGUGCAUAGAGACACACACUCUCUCUCUCUCUCUCUCUCUCUUUUUCUCUUUCUGGGGCCUAUUCCAAUUUAUAUAUUUUUUCCUUCUAUUUUUUUCUAACUCCUUUAGCCAGUGUUGUUAAUGUUAUAAAGCACUGAUUAUAUUUGAAACUAAAAGAAAUGAAUUAAACUAUAUUAAAAGUGUAAUGUAUUUUGUUUAUCAGUAAGCUUUUAGUACAGGAUUUUGAAUCUUUCAAUCCACGAUUUGGUAUAAAAGCGUCAUUUAGAAGCAUAUUGACUCAAACAUUGUAGUAUAUGGCAUGAUAAUGGCCUACUACCUAAAAAAAAGGUUCUGUAAAGCAGCAUUUGACAAAUGUGCUGUGAAGCUUAAGUGCCAAUAAUGCCAAAAGAGGUUCCCCUAUAACGAGCAAAAGAACCACUCUUGAGCACCAUUUUUAUUGAAGAAAUUGUAAACAAUCAAGGUGCUUUAUGGCACCUCUU
rnacentral:lncRNA from 1 species